AGUCAGAUAACUGGGUCAAGUGGUUGUUCCAUUCUAAGUUUUCUGAGAAAUCUCCAGAUUGCCUUUCAGAGUAUUUGAACCAAUUUGCAGUCCCACCAGCAAU
rnacentral:pre_miRNA from 1 species